GGAUCUACCUAUCAAGCACAAAAUGCACCGGAUCCCAUCUGAACUCUGCAGUAAAGUGUGCCCAGGCGAGAAUAGUAUUAGGAUGGGCCACCUCCUGGGAAAUCCUCGUGUUGCACCCC
rnacentral:rRNA from 1 species